AAGUUUGAUCAUGGCUCAGGAUGAACGCUGGCGGCGUGUUUAAGGCAUGCAAGUCGAACGGUCCGAUGUUUAAUCGGACAGUGGCAAACGGGUGAGUAACACAUUGGUAAUUUACCGGAAAGCGUGGAAUAACCUUGAGAAAUCAGGGCUAAUACCACAUGUGCCCAGAACUUUUUAUAAAGUAUUGGGUAAAGGCCGCAAGGUCACUUUUCGAGAAGCCUAUGGCCUAUCAGGUUGUUGGUGGGGUAAUGGCCUACCAAGCCAAUGACGGGUAGCGGGUGUGAGAGCACGUCCCGCCUCAUUGGGACUGAGACACUGCCCAAUCUCCUACGGGGGGCUGCAGUCAAGAAUCUUCCUCAAUGGCCGAAAGGCUGAAGGAGCGACGCCGCGUGCAGGAUGAAGCUCUUCGGAGUGUAAACUGCUUUUCUGAGAGAAGAACCUUCGGGUGACGGUACCUCAGGAAUAAGCCGCCGCUAACUUCGUGCCAGCAGCUGCGGUAAGACGAAGGCGGCAAGCGUUAUCCGGAUUUACUGGGCGUAAAGCGUGUGUAGGCCGUUUGACAAGUUUCUGGUUAAAGCCCUUUGCUUAACAUUGGGAGCGCUGGAAAAACUAUCAGACUAGAGGCCGGGAAAGGCAAGUGGAAUUGCCGGUGUAGGGGUUAAAUCCGUUAAUAUCGGCAGGAACACCAAAUGCGAAGGCAACUUGCUGGAACGGUCCUGACGCUGAGACACGAAAGCGUGGGUAGCGAACAGGAUUAGAUACCCUGGUAGUCCACAGCUGUAGACGAUGUGCACUAGAUGUUGGGGGAGUUGACCCCUUCAGUGUCGCAGCUAACGCGAUAAGUGCACCGCCUGGGGAGUACGGCCGCAAGGUUAAAACUCAAAGGAAUUGACGGGGGCCCGCACAAGCGGUGGAGUAUGUGGUUUAAUUCGAUGCAACGCGAAGAACCUUACCUGGUCUUGACAUCCCGGGGAUCUCCUGGAAACAGGGGAGUGCUUCUUAAGGAAGAGCCCGGAGACAGGUGCUGCAUGGCUGUCGUCAGCUCGUGUCGUGAGAUGUUGGGUUAAGUCCCGUAACGAGCGCAACCCACGCCUUUAGUUGCCAUCAUUUGGUUGGGCACUCUAGAGGGACAGCCCCGGUUAACGGGGAGGAAGGUGUGGAUGACGUCAAGUCCUCAUGGCCCUUAUGGCCAGGGCUACACACGUACUACAAUGGACGGUACAAAGGGCAGCGACACUGCGAGGUGGAGCUAAUCCUGAAAGCCGUUCUCAGUCCGGAUCGGAGUCUGCAACUCGACUCCGCGAAGCUGGAAUCGCUAGUAAUCGUGGAUCAGAAAGUCACGGUGAAUACGUUCCCGGGCCUUGUACACACCGCCCGUCACACCACGAAAGUCGGCUGUACCAGAAGACGUUGAGCUAACCUUCGGGAGGCAGGCGUCCAAGGUAUGGCUGGUAAUUGGGGUGAAGUCGUAACAAGGUAA
rnacentral:rRNA from 1 species